AUGUCUGUCUGCCUGUCCUGCUAUGUGAACUUGAGGCUAGCACACUGGGGAGGGCGCAAUCCUGGGUGGCAGAGCGCUUUCUGGUGCACACAUGUCUGUUGGGCCUACUUAAGUUUACCUGUAGGCAGGGCAGCUGGUCCCCAGAGGCAUCUGGGUGCAGCCUCAUUUUCAAGGGAGUCCCAGGGUUUCUGGCUUCUCCUUGUGUUAAACCUGGCUCUGCUGUUGAGUAGACUGCAGAGAGCAGGGCCUCUAGCCUCAGUGGGGAUCUCAUACUCCCAUGUCACUGAGUGGUCAGGACACAGUGAGAGACCCACGCAAAGACAGAGGCCUGCAGGGGCUCACCCCUCAGCUGUUCAUACUCACCUCUCCCCACAACAGCCCAGGGCUUGCAUCUCUUUCCUCUGCCCUCUCUGUCCCCUGUGCUGGGGCAGCCUGCCUCUCUAGGACCCUACAGUUCAUCAGGGCAUCAGGCUGCACCACUAGACAUGGUGAGAAUACCCUCAGCUCAGCUUCCUGGGGGUGGGCUCUAGCCAUUAGACCCCAGGACCUGGAACUAGACAUGACCAUGAGCUCAUGACCUUGAGAUGGGGACAUCGGCUGUCCUGAGUGGUGGACACUCCACUCUGUGCCCUCCCAGUGCUGGGGAGCACAGAAUCCCUGGGGCCCUCCCUGCCAAGGCAGCCAAACUGAGCUGCCUGGCAUUCUGCAGGACAGGUGCACCCAGUGCCACCCAUUCCCUCCAGUUGGCCUGACCUGGGCCCCAGGCUGGCAGGUGUGCAGGGUGCACAGGCAGCAGGUGAUCUGGGACAAUAUCCAGAGGGACAGUCAUGGGGCCAGUGCUGUCAGUGGGUGUGAUCCAGGCCAUUCCCAGGAACACACACAGGUCAGCAUUCCAGUGCCCCAGCUUCCUCCUCCACAGGCAUCCCUCAGCCCCAGUGGAUCAGCUGAGAAGCCCGUUGUCGCUCCCCGUCUUUGUGGAGGAACGACACAGGACCCUGCGCUGUUCUUUCGUCUGCUCGGCCCUCCCCGGGUUUGCUGCUGGUUCUUCCCGGGUUGGCUACCGACCCUUCCACCUCCGUGGAAGGGCGGUUCCCCCUGCCACAUUCCCCACUUACGCGGGGGAGUGGCACACCGCCGGCCAGCUCUCUCGGGGGCUGCACAGGUGUUCCUUCAGAUAGAUGUUCCCCUUAGAUGUUCCUGGUGCAUGUUGUCUCUCUCCUCCUUUAUAGUCCUCUUCCACCAAUCCCAACUCUGCUACCCACACGCUGAGUACGCUGCUCUCCUCCAAUCAGGAGUAGGUCCUACAGUUUAUUGGUCGAACUGGAGGCAGCUGUGUAGAAGCUGUUUCUCCCUUCUCAGCGCAAUAUUGUGGGAGAGCAGAUGCAUAGAAUACGUCUUAAUUCCAGUAACUUAUUCUAGUCCAAGUUGCUCCCCACACCCGUUAAGUAAAUCCCUGUGACUAUGAUCUCUUGGAGAUAGUCCUACCCUUCCCACUCCUUCCUGGCCUGCUGUGCUGCCCUCUUGUUUGCCCACAGGGUCCUCGGGCCCCGACAGUCUGGGCUUACAGUGGGGAGGGGAGUCCUCAUGUGGGAUCAGCACAGCCGUGACCUGGGUGGGGCCCCCCCAAGGGGUUCCUCAUCUGCAAAUGGGGAGUGAUAGCAGUGCCUCCCCAUGGCUGAGACAUGGUCACCCGUGUGCCUGGCCAGGGGCUGGGAAAUCCCAGGAGCUCGGGGAAAGAGCAGUCACUGUGCUUGGGGAUAUCCUCUGUGUCUCCAUGUUCCCAGCCAAGACCCACCCAUGUCACCUGCACACCAGGCAGUCUGGGGCACAUGGGGUCCCAGACAAGGCCCCCCUGUCUCCUGAGCAGUGAGCAAAACCCUGCUCGGAUCCUUCUGCCAGUGACCCAUUGUUGAGUGCAGGGACAGAGACUGUGACAGCUUCUGUGUGUAUGUGUGGCCCCAGGACCCAAACUGUGCCUUCAGUGUAAGAACCCUUUCCCUUUCUUGUGUACUCCUCAUACUGGAAGCAGGGGGCCCAAUGUGUGCAGGGAGGUGUAGAGCAUCGCAUUCCCUGUGCCGGUGAUAGCUGUGGGCAGGGCUGCCUUCCCAUCUCACAGAUGAGGACACUGAGGCUGCAGGGAGAACACCCACUGCAGGUCAGAUCUGUGACCUCAGAGUCCGCGUCCCUGACCAUGAGGAGGCGCCGCCACAGCCCUGCAAGCAUCUCCCUGUUCUUUGCUUUCCUUGGCCAUCCCAGCACUUGGUGCUCUUUGUCCAAAUGGGGAACCCUGGCUCUGCCCCUGGGGAAGUGCCAGUGUCCUCUGCAGGGGAUCCAGGUCCCUGGCAUUGGGGCCAUGGUGCAGGGAGAGUGGGGUGGGGAGGGCACAGUAUGGGGAGUUUGCAUGGUGUGAAUUGCACACUUCGCAGUGGGUAAUCAAUUAAAUUUUAUUUUGGUAAAGCAACAAUAAGGUGGAGACAAGGAACACAAUGGGGAGGAUUAAAGAGAAAUACAGGAACACCGGGGUGGGGAAGGGCAGGUGUGGCACUGGGGCUGAAGCAAAAGGGACUUGCAGAGCUGGGGCUGAGGCCUGGGCCAGUGCUGUCUCUGGUGCUCCUGCAGCUUUCUUGGCUGCAGCUGGGGACACAGCUGUCCCCCACUCAUCUUUGGAGGGCCAUGACUGCUCCAGUGGGGGUGUUGCUUGAAGGUCAUGGCUCUGCUUCGCCCCAGCUGUCAGGUCAGGUUCCAAGCCCAGCCCUGAGCUUGCUUCCCAUCUGGAACUGGUGAAGCCGUCGUGCCCCAGUGCCUCCACUGUGAAAUGGGCAUUUGCGGACCCCCUGGGCUCUAUCUGGGCCUUUACCAAGAUUAAGUGACUGAGGGGGGCCUCAGGUGGCUUGUGUGCCCGGUGGAACGCCCGAUACAUGAGCGUUGGAGUUGUGGGUGAGUUUGACCACUCCCCCACUACACACAGCUCAUCAGUUUUAGUUGGCCUACGGUUGUCUGGGCUGCUUGCGAUCCCCAGCCCGCUGUGUUGUGCCAGGCGCGAGGGUGCCCUGUCCUGGACCUGGGAGACAAGAGCAGAGAAUGGCAGGUCAUCAGUGAAAGGGGCCUGACACACGUCCUGCCUGCUGGCGAUCCGCAGCCUUCUGUGCAUUGCCAGGCGCGAGGCUGACCUGUCCUGGCCCUGGGAGACAAGAGCAGAGAAUGGCAGGUCAGGGGUGCAAAGAAUUGAGCCAUCUUCUGCUUUCCCAGAGAGCUGUAUCUGAAGUGGAGCAGCCAGGACUUGAACUGGUGCCCAUAAGGGAUGGUUGCACUGCAGGUACAAGUAUUUUCAGUCAUCUUGAGUAUGAGCUAGGAAUGGAGUAGCUGAGUCCGACAGUAACUCUUCAUAUCUCCAUUUGGGGACAACUGCUUGAACACUACAGUGGCUGCACCAUUUCACACUCUCACCAUCAAUGGGUUUCAUUUUAGAAUUCAUGAGGUGAAAAACUAAAUGAGAGGUGUGGAGGCUCAUUUUCUGUCAUGGUCAUUGGAUGUUUAGAGCAUCAUUUGCUGUGUUUGUCGUCUGCCCAGGAUGUUCCCACCACCAGGGAAAUACAGAAGACUUUCCAGGUCAUCAGUUUUAGUUGGCCUACGGUUGUCUGGGCUGCUUGAGAUCCCCAGCCCGCUGUGCUGUGCCAGGUGCGAGGCUGCCCUGUCCUGGACCUGGGAGACAAGAGCAGAGAAUGGCAGCUCCAGGAGCAUCGGGGGUGAGGGCUGGCCCAGCGUCCCCACCACUGGGCGAGGCGCCCACAGCAGGGUUUCUUGGGGCCUGGGCUUCGGCAUCGCGGGAUACAACUCAGGAACAUCUUGCUACGAGACUCUAUCCAGUCACCACAGCUGAGAGCAGAGAAGUUCCUUGUCUCUCCUGCACCCCGGAUGGCUCCUUGGAGAGCCCCUGUCAGACCUCAGACUGCUGCUCAACAGGGCGCCACGUUGAAUGUCAGGUUCCUGGUUACAACUUGCGGUUUCAGUCUCAUCUGAGUUGAAGUCUUGGCCCAGACGUGUGCUGGCUGAGGUGUUGUUGGCAGGACAUUUUAGUAUCCGUCCAGAUCCAUGUGUAACGGGCUGCCUCUUCAGCUCUGAAUGUGUGAAGAUCCAGAGGUUCACAGACACCGGGACCAUGAUCCUUUUAUCCUUGUCAUUUUGAAGGGAGAGUCUCCAGGAGCGGUAGGGUGUCACCAAUCAGUUGUGCUCCCUCUGGGAGUUUCCCGGGGUGCCACCAAUCUGUUGUUUAGGACAGGGUGUAUCUGCAGUAUUCCUGGGGUGCAGCCAAUCCCUGUGCGAGUAGGAAGGUAACUUGAGGUUGUCGUCUGUAGCAUACAGGUUAUCAGACUGCCCAGGGAUGUCUGUUCAGUCUGAUGAGGAGCAUCUUUCUGGCAAGCGCUGAGCUUGACAUAAGUGAUGUCAUCAGCUUCUGGCUUAGCAUAAGUGACUCCAUUUUUAUUUCCUGUUUUUGCUUGUUUGUGGGCAGCAGUGAGCUAUAACUCUUUUUGGGCUACCAGUGGCUUUCUCCACAGUCCAGAGCCUUUUAUUCAUUGUGUGGGCCGUGAUCUGUGACUCAUUUUUGGGAGUCCUGUGGGAUUCUCCUCAGUGGUAUCCAUAGCACUUCAUUAGAGUCUGUUGCAUUUCUGGGUGAGUGCUUACCUCAGGGCCAGGCCAUGCUAAGGGCUGUGCUGGUGUUUGCUGUGGGUGUUUUGCCCGAGUGAGGCAGAGGAGGUGGCAGGGCCUCUGGGGACAGCAAGCCCGGUGUUGGGGAGAGGAAGAGGAGCGAUCUCUGCUGAAGGGUGGGAGCACUCAUGGGGGAAGCAGUCAGGCUGGGUAGGAACACUGGGCUGGAGAGUGGUGGUCUUGGGAGCUGAGCUGAAGGGGGUCCACCCAGCAUGCUGGGAGUCUGAGCAGGGGUCAGCUGGCAUUGAGUGCAGUAGGAUGCUGGUCAGGUGUGUGUGAGUGGGGAGCAGGGCUUCACUUGGGAGCCUUGGCUCAGAAUCUUCCUCCUUCAGACCUCAGACUCUUUCCAGUCUCACCAGGACAGUCACUCCCCAGUCUCCACUGCGGUCUGUGUCUGCAGCCCACGGCAGGAGAUUUGGGGGUCACCACCGAAUAACUUGUGGGCCCUGGGUCACCAGGCUCAGUUCCUGUAGGGAGCAAGCCCCCAGCGGAUCAGGAGCUGUGUCUCAUGUGUGGACACUCAGGGCUGCUGCCUCCUGAGUCUCUUGCUGUUGUCCUGUGGGCCAUUUGGCAUCUGUAGUCUGGACGUGGAGGCAUGAGAAUGACCUGAAUGUGCAGGGUUUGUGGAGAGAAUGACGGGAGGAACAGACUCAAGUUUUUGGUCUUCGUCCACCUGCUGUAUUACUUAGGGAAGGACAAGUGUCGAUAUUAACCAAAGUACAGGGUGCACUUGGAGGAGCUAGGCCAUGGAGGGAGCUGGCUGAGGAGGCAGGGCUGGGUGUGUAGGAGGGGUAGGGGGUGAGUGCUGGGUGUGCAUCCUGUUGGCGAUGCGUGACUUCCUCCCGUAGGGUUCUCCCUGAAGGGCUGACAAGAACAUGGCUGCGCUGCCCUUGCGCUCUGUGAUUCUUCCAUAUCCUUUUGUUGUGUUGAGAACCCUGCAUGGGAAAUCUGCCAUCUGAGGCUCAUCUGCAUCUCUAGAAUUUCUAAAUCUUAAAAAAAAAAGAUUUAUUUCUUAUUUUGAAAGUCACAGUUCCAGAAAAAGGAGAGACAGAGAGAGCUAUCUUCCAUCUGUUGGUUCACUCCCAAGAUGGUGGCAGUGGCUUCCCUGGUCCAAGCUGAAGCCAGGUACUUCUGCCCAGUACCCUGUGUGUGUUGCAGGGGCACAGGUACUUGGGCCAUCUUCCUCUGCUUUUUGCAGACCACUUGCAGGGAGCUGGAUUGGAAUUGGAGCAGCCAGGACAGGAACCAGUGCCCACAUGGGAUGUGAGGGUUUGCAGGCUGUGGCUUUAUCCAGUGCACCACAACACGGGCCCCGUUUCCAGAACUUCUUCAUCUCCCAGCCUCCUGCUUUUUCUGGAUCCUGGAUGGAAGUCUUUCUUUGUUGUCCAAGACGACUGCCUCAGUCACGUGAGCACUGGUGUUGGUUGAGUGUCCCCAGUGUGCUUUCCGCGGUUGUUCUGACAGCACGAGAGGACGGAUUGCAUUUUUGAUUCCCUGGGAAGAUUAUCCAGGGUGAUCUCGUACCUGUGAAGGAGGGUAGUGAACCAAGGGUUAAGUCAGCAGGCUGUAGUGAAUCCUCUUUUGUCCUGUGGACAUCUUUAGAACGUUUUUGGGGAAAAAAAUUGACCUGAUCCUUGGCAGUAUUCUUAAACUGCUUACAUAUAUAGAAAUGAAGUGAGUUUUCAUCUCUGUAAUGGGGAACCUGUUUAUAAAGGGGACAUGUAUUUUUAUAGAAACAGAUUUGAAAGUGCCCAAGUUAAGCAUUGUGUAUUUGUAUGCAGUUAAUAUUUAGAAUAUAUCUGUUGCAAUUUAUAUGGUUAACAUUCUCAUAGAUGGGGCGUGCACUGUGGCUCAGUGGGUUAAAUCCCUGGGCUGCAGUGCCUGCAUCCCAUAUGGGUGCUGCACUUCGAGUCCAGCUCCCUGCUAAUGUGCCUGGGACAGGCAGCCGAGGAUGGCAGAAGUCGUUGGGCCCCUGCACCCAUGUGGGAAACCUGGAAGGAGCUCCUGGCUCCUGGCUUCAUGUUGGCUCAGCUCUGGCUUUUGCAGUCAUUUAGGGAGCGACCUAGUGGGAUGACCUCUCUCUCUUGGCCUCUGCAUCUCUUCAUAACUCUAUCAAAUAAACCAAAUAAAUCUUUAAAAGAAAUAGUACCCAUAGGAAAAAAGUAAAGUGGAAGCUCAUUUCACCAGUGCACCUAAUAAUUUCGCAUUCUUGGUCAGAAUACAAAGUAAAUUGAGGAUGUCAAGGUACAGAUGGUUAAGCCUCCCCUUGGGGCAACCCCAUUUCUUAUCUGGGUGCCAGGUGAAGACCUGGCUGCCCUGCUUCUGAUCCAGCUCCUCUUGGAUGCACUGAGAGGGAGCAUUCGGUGACUUGAGUCCCUGGGCCUCUGAUACCCACAUGGGAGACGCAGAUGGAGUUUCUGGCUCCUGGCUUCACCUGGUCCUGUCUUGGUGGUUGUGUGCAUUUGGGAAGUGCACCAGUUAAUGGGAGACUUCUCUCCGUGUGUCUCUCUCUCUACCUUUCAAGUAGGUGAAAAUAAGUAGACAUUUCUUUGACUGUAUUUUUUCUUAUUAUUUGGAGGUUUGCAGUUUUAUUAAGAAAAAGAUGAAGGCAAACCAAACUGAAAGGCGGAGUCUCCAUUCAGCAGCGCCUGAGUGUACCGGACAUCCAGAGUGGCACAUAGGGUUGCGAGUGGGCUCUGUGCUGUCCUGUUGGCAUAUGAGUGCCCUGACACCCAGGACCAGCUGCCUGUGUCCUCCCUCAGCCUGUACGGCUCAUCGGGAUCAGUGGGAGCGGACAGCAGGCUGAGUAGUGCACAGGCCAAGGAAGGCAGUCUGGGACCCUGACUGAGACAGGAUGGUGAGGGUUGUCCAGCCAUGGGAAUGUUGUUAACGUAGCUGAGCUGCAUGCUCUAAAAUUCUGUGUUUUGUGGACUCUGCUCGAUUAAAGGAAGCAAACAGGUGUUGUAUCAGGUCUGGCCCGCAGGUGCUGGGAUAGUGACAUCUGGGGACAUCUCCUCGCUGGCAUGGGUCUGCCGUGCAUCCUGGAGACUCCUGUCCAGGCCUUGGGUCUGCGGAUCUUUCACCACUGUCACUUCUGCUCCAGCCUCAUUUCUCUGCUUACUGAGCCUUGAUGUCUCACGGUGUGGCUCCCUGACUGGAGGGCACACCUUUGGAUCUUCUUGAUGGCAGCCUGAGAGGGGCUGAGCUAUUUUGCAUCCUGGGAGGCGUCUCCGUCCAGGCUCCCUGCUCCUUGGCAGCACAACCUACCUACUGGGGGCCCCCUUCUGCUUCUACCUGGACAGCCUGACCUGCUCUCCUCCUGGCUCCUACUGCCCAGCCCCCUACCCCAGGAUACCUUCCCAUGCCCCACGGGUGACACCUGAUCCUGGGUCUCAACCCACAGUGUCAUUCUCCUGUAGUAUCCCAUUGUGGGACAGACUCUGCAGCUGUGGUGGAGGGCCCUGAAUCAGCGACUGUGUCACUGUAAAGGGAGACGAUGUGUGUGACACUGAGUGAGGCAGCCAGGGCCUGAGGGGACCUGACAUUCACCUGGACUUGAUUAAGAACCUGACCGUACAUCAGCUCACCCCACAGGAGCUUCCGAGCAAACCACCCAGGCCAGGUAUAAAACAGGGAUGCAGCCCUACAGCCACAAGGAACUGAGACGGCAGCACACCAGAUGGCACCAUGUAACCUCAGGAGAGACCUUGAGCCUGUAGCACUCAGGCUCCUGACCUGCAGAUGUGGCGAAAACCUGGGACUUCCAAGUACUUGGGCCAUUUUCUGCUGCCUCCAGACACAUCAGCAAGGAGCUGGAUCAGAAGUGGAGCAUUAGGGACUUGAACUUGUGCCCAUUUGGGAUGCUUGCCAGGCAGGUGGUGGCUUUACCUGCCAUGUCACAACAUUGGCUCCUGAAUUUUUUUUCUGAGUAUUAGGUCUCUUUUUUUUUUAAAGAUUUAUUUAUUUAUUUGAAAGGCAGAGUUUCAGAGAGGCAGAGGCAGAGAGAGAGAAGUCUUCCAACCACUGUGGUUCAGUCCUCAGAUAGCUCCAACAACUGGAGCUGGGUCGAUUGGAAGCCAGGAACCAGGAGCUUCCUCUGUGUCUCCCAUUCAGGUGCAGGGGCACAAGGACUUGAGCCAUCAUCUGCAUUCCCAGAGAGCUGGAUCAGAGUGGAACAGCUGGGACUUGAACCGGUGCCCAUAAGGGAUGGUGGCACUGCAGGCAGUGGUGCAGGCUGUUGGAUUUGUUUUUAAAAGCUUUGUUGCAGGAGGGUUUGUGGCACAGGAGGUCAAAUUGCCAGCUUGGAUGCCUGUAUCCCCCAUGAGGGUGCUGGGUUUGGCUGCCAGUAUUCUGCUUCCAAUCCAGCUUCCCACUGACGUGUCUCUGGGGGGCACAGGCAGUGGCUCGAGCACUUGGGUCCCUGCCACCAAUGAGAGCUCCACCUCUCUUUCUGCUUUUCAAGUCAAAUGAAAAUUGAUGAAAAAAUUUAAAAAACAGUUUCUUUGUCCACUGAGUAAAGAUUGUCCAUGGGGUCCUGGUUCCUAGCUGUGGAGAUUGUGCCUCCUUAAGGGACACUGUGGUUGGCCCAACUGGGAGGUGCUCCUGGCUUGGGUCAGGUGGUUGCCAGAGAUGCUGCCCCUCACCCUGCAGUGCCCAGAGUGCCCCGGAGCAAGAACAAUCUGGGUCCAGUGCCUAGGGGAGAGCCCCUAGGUCUGGGGUACAGGAGUGGAACCAGGAGAUUAAUGAGGAGCUGGAGAGACAGGGUGUGAUCUGGACUCUGCCAUGAGAGGUGACGUGGCUUUAUGUGGAUUCCCUGUCCCAUGCCUCAAUUUCCCUGCUACAAAAUGGGCAUAGUAGCCCCCUCCUCAUUUUUUUCAGGAUUGCAGAAGGUGAUUCUGUCAUAUCCUGAUACCUGAGUCUCUGCACCUGUACCCUCAUAGCUGCUGCGGCCGCCGUUACUGAGUGUCAGUGCAUGAGGACAGGGAACUGGGGCGGGAUCUCCCUUCCCAGCAUCCCUAGAACUUCACCAAGGUCAUCUUAUCUGGGUCCUUGGUUUUUAGGGCUUAGGAUUGCAUGAGUUCAGACCUGAGUGUAACCUGAGCUUGUGGGGAAUCACAGGGUUAGGACUGGUCCUGUCCAUGGUGUGAUCACCCUGGACUUUCAUCUUUGUUGGUUGGCCCUGCAGGAAGUGAGCAGAGGGGUGGAAAGCCCUUGCUCCCCACCUCCACCUCCUCUGUCCCCCGAGUUCACUGGGCUUGUUCCUGCGGGGAAGCAAAUGCCACACUGCGGGGCUGUGUCUGCCUUCUUAGGGAGAUACACAGCCUUGUCCUCUCCCACGCAGCAGAAGCACAGAGACUCCUGCUCCGUCAGCUGUGACUCAUACUAGUCCGUCUCUGUCCACUGCCCUCGUCCCUUCCUCCUGGCCUCUGACAACUGCCGUUGUGCCCUGAGCCUCCAGGGCAUCACCACUUUGCAGAUUCCACAUGUGAGUGAGGUCAUGUGGUGUUUGUCUUUCUGUGCUUGGUUGAUUUCACUUAACCCAGUGAUUUCCAGAUCCUCCCAUGGUACCACAAAUGACAAGAUUUCAACCUUUUUUAUAGCUGAGUAGUAUUCCUAUGUGCACACGUACCCCUUUUUUUCUUUUUCCAUCCAUGGCGGAUGGAUGUGUAGGUUGUUUGCAUGCCUUAGCUACUGGGAACAGGACUGCAGUAAAAUUGGGGGCACAGAUCUCUCUUCCACAGACUGACUUCCUUCCCCUUUAUUGUACACUGGCAGUAGGGUUGGUGGAGUGGAUGGUAGGUCUAGUUUCUGUUUAUUGAGCAACUUCCUUACUCUUUACCACAUCUACAUUCCCACCCACAGAAUGCCAAGUGUUCCCUCCCCUCCACACACAUCCUCACUAGUUAUCGUUCAUUCCUUUGGUAUCCUAUUGUGGUUUUGCUUUGUAUCUCUCUGAGAUCAGUGAUGAGCACUUUUGUCCCGUAUUUCACAUUAUAAGUAGUUCCCUUGAGUGCUGUGGAACAGGAGAAUCACUGACAUGUCUUACUUUAAGGAAUGUCUAUUUCCGAGGCCAGCACUGUGGCGCAGCGAGUUGAUAUCCUGGCCUAAAGUGCUGGCAUCCCAUGUGGGCGCUGGUUCGAGACCUGGCUUUCCAUUUCUGAUCCAGCUAUAUGCUAUGGUGUGGGAAAGCUGUAGAGGAUGGCCUAGUUCCUUGGGUUCCUGCACCCACGUAGGGGACCCAGAGGAAGCUCCUAGCUCCUGGCUUCGGAUCGGCGCAGCCCCGGCUGUCGCUACCAACUGGGGAGUGAACCAUCGGAUGGGAGUCCUUUCUUUCUCUGCCUCUCCCCUCUCUGUGUAACUCUGAUUUGCAAGUAAAUAUAUAGAUCUUUUUUUUUUUAAAAAAAAGAAAUGUCUAUUUCUAACUGAGACUCUUAAGUCUGACUUAUUUGUUGUUUCUUGUUUUUGCUGUUUAGUUGUUUUUAUGUUGACUUUACUAACAGCUAUGUCAGAUGGAUGGCUUGUAGACAUUGUUUCUUUGCUGUACAAAAGCUGUUUAAUUUGGUGAAAUCCCAUUUGUCUGCUGGUUGGCUUUGUUUCCUAUGCUCUUGGGGUCUGAUCUAAGAAAUCCUUGCCCAUGGCACUGUCCGGAAGCAGUUCCCCUGUGUUUUCUUCUAAUUGUUUCAAAGGCUCAGAUCUUACAUUUCAGUUUGUCUUCUGUUUUCUUUACUUUUCACAGAUUUAUUUAUUUAUUUUAAAGUCAGAAGUACACAGAGAAGGUUAGGCAGAGAGAAAGUAGUUGUCCAUCCACUGGUUCACUCCCCAGAUGGCCACAAUGGCCAUGGCUGUGCUGAUCCAAAGCCAAGAUCCAGGAGCUUCCUCCAGGUCAGCCACGAGGGUGCAGGAGCCCAAGGACUUGUGCCAUCUUUUACUGCUUUCCUGGACCACAGGUGAGAGCUAGAUUGGUAGAGGAGCAGCUGGGACUACACCAGCACUCAUCCGGGAAGCUGGUAUUGCUGACGGAGGCUUUACCCGGUCCCUUCAUUUCUUUUUUGAAACCAGUAUGAAUAACCCACAGCAUUGAUGAGUAUGUUCUGUGCUCAUUGGUACCAUGUUUUCUUCUAGGUGCAUUUCAUUUAAUAAAUUUGUUCUUCCCAACAGUGGUAUAGGUUCUGUGUUGCAGUUGAGGCUCCCCAGGCACAAAGCCUAAGCAGUGCAGAGGCCUAGUGUCCCAGAGCAGGAUUUGGCCUCUGGGCUGUAAGUCAGGGACUGCCACUGAAUCCAGACCUCAUGUUAACUGCCCUGGAUGGUGAAGAUACUGCUCUGUCUCUCCCCUCUGCCAGGCUCUGUGCUGUGAGAUCCUCUUCCAGUCUCCAAGAAGACCUUGACCUCAGCAUCCUUCUGGCCCUAGGGUGGUCAACUGGCAUGAUGUCCACACAAGUGAAGGAACAGUUGCUUCUGGAUCACUCAGAUCACUUUCUGUGGACAGGUUUCUUGACCUACAAUUGACAGAACAUGAUGUAUGUCCUCUUGUGUCCAUGUCAGUGACUUUAAUAUAUGUAUAGGCUGUGUAGCCAUCAGCACAGUGUAGCUGUGGAACAUUCCCCAAACACUUAAAGAACCUCCUGCCUAUUGGCACUCAGUUCUCAGUCCCGCCUCCAGGCCCUUGAGACACAUGUCUACUCACUUUCACAAA